GGAGCGGGCUGAGUGAUCGCUGCGGGGGCGGCAACGUCUCCGUGGAGGAAAGUCCGGGCUCCACAGGAUACGGUGGUGGGUAACGCCCACCGUCCGCGAGGACAGGGAAAGUGCCACAGAGAACAGACCGCCGGACGGUCGGCGCGAGCCGACGACGGUAAGGGUGAAACGGUGAGGUAAGAGCUCACCGCGAGUCGGACGACCGGCUCGGCACGGCAAACCCCACCUGGAGGAAGACCGAAUAGGAGGAUCGCGCGGCCCGCGCCCAGAUCCUCGG
rnacentral:RNase_P_RNA from 1 species